GCAACUCUGAGGAUUAUUUUGCACCACUGAAGUAGCACAAAAUAGCUCAGAAAGAUAAAACGAUCAUGAUGGCGGGACUAGGGUCAACAGGUCAGUUCCCGAUUUUAAGAAAAAGGCUUUAGAAAGAGAGCAGAAAAGGCAAGCCCUGAAGAAAACGAUUGGUCAAGAAAAAGCUUUUUUGCUGGAUUGUGGGAACGACCUAAAAUGGCUAUGUCUUUCCCUUUGGGACCUCAGUUGCAGUGGCAUUGCUGGCUGCUCCAGAGCACUCCCCUACUGUCUUUGGGUCAUGGAGCUCCCUUCUGGGAAACAACUGCUGGAACGAGAAGGGAGGAUGAACCACAGGGAGGAAGAAGGCCUUCAGGUUAUUUUUGAAUUCUGUCUCUUUAAAAAAUUGCAAUCAUGCCAUUCACAUCAGCAUGCCUUGAAGCAAAUCCUGGUACAGAUGGGCUUGUGUCAAACAUUAAGCUCAGGAGAAUCUGGGACAUGGAAUUGACCUUCUACAGCUAAGGCCCGUUUCACAAACUGCAUAAAAGCUUCCAGGCUGAUGUCCAUCGUACUCACAGUCUGUAUCAAGCAUCUCUGGGACCUUUUACCUUCAGACGGAGCCAAUUUUCUCUCCUCCCACUUUCAAAGAAAAAGUGAAGUACUUUCCUUAGGUGAGGGGCAGCAUAUGUUCAGGUUGCUGAUUACACAGCUCCAGCCGGUGACACUUUGUAUGCAAAGUUAUUCUCACAGUAACUACUCAUGAGAAACUCCUUCCUGGCACAAAGCUC